AGGGAAGGGCUACGAGAGCGUCAGAAUUAUCAGAUAAGCUCGCGUGUUGGAAAUCUCACUAAGUCUCAAGCUAUGAGACACACUGAGAGCGAACGAAUUCGCAGUGUGAACGAGGCGCACCUGCGGGUCGGGCAGGAUCCACCAGCUCUCUCAUCGACUCCACCAUCUCCUAGACGAUUAUAGUUUAUUCCUCAAAAGGCAUUUUUUACAAGUACCUCUUGCUGUUUUCCCCCCGGAAGCAGGCGAUCCUGUUUUGCUAUCUCUUAUGUUACUGCUGUGAAUCUGCUUCACGAGAAGAUGCUGAAAGGGUCGUCGGUGAAGACCAGCCUUCUGAUGGUGAUCUCGGUGAUGGUGGGAGUGCUCCUCUCCUCCCUGGGGGUGAUCCCUGCUCACUACCUCUACGUCAGGUCCAGAGAGCCGAUGUCCCACGAUGACCUGGUUGGAGAGUUCAUCCCCGCCUUGCCAUUGAAUACUCACAAUCAUACCUUCCUCUCAGAGGAGGCGCUGCAGGAGACGCAGAAGGUGCGGGUGCUGUGUUGGGUGAUGACUCGUCCAGAGACGCACCACAGCAAGGCCGUCCACGUCAAGGCCACCUGGGGCGCCCGCUGUGACAAACUCAUCUUCAUGAGCUCCAUGAAUGACACUCAGCUUGGGACUAUCGACCUUGGUGUUGGUGAGGGGAGGAACGUGUUGUGGGGCAAGACAAAGGCAGCCUUCACCUACGUCUACAACAACUACUUGUCUCAAUACGACUGGUUCUUUAAGGCCGACGACGACACGUAUACCAUCAUGGAGAACAUGCGCUACAUGCUUUCAGCCUACGACCCCGACUUCCCCAUCUACUUCGGCUCAAGGUUCAGGAAGUUCACCAAGCAAGGCUACAUGAGUGGAGGUGGAGGGUACGUGUUGAGCAGGGAGGCCUUGAAGCAGUUUGUGGAGGUAUCGCUGCCUGACAAGAAGCUCUGUAAGCCGGAUAACACUGGCGCCGAGGAUGCUGAGAUGGGAAAGUGUCUGGACAAUAUCGGCGUUCUGGCCGGAGAUUCCCGGGACAACAUGGGUCGAGGCCGCUUCUUUCCUUUCACCCCUAGCACGCACCUCUUCGGUGGCGUCCCUGACUGGUACCUCGACUACGUCUACUACAUGCCCGACACGGUACGUCACCCCCAGCACGGUACGUCACCCCUAGCACGCACCUCUUCGGUGGCGUCCCUGACUGGUACCUCGACUACGUCUACUACAUGCCCGACACGGGCCUCAACUGCUGCUCAGACUCGGCCGUCACCUUCCACUACGUUGACACCCAGUUGAUGUACGUGAUGGAGUACCUGUUGUACCACCUGAGGCCCCACGGCCUCCACCCCAACCACCCCGUUCCGGUACCUCUUCCUCCGGACCUAAACAGCAUCCCCCCACAGGUGUUGAAGAUGAGCGGGGUGACGGCCACUAUGGGAGCAGCGCAGCGCGGUUUAAACACCUACAAGCCCUAGAGAAACAUAAAUUUUCCUGUCCAAUAAUACUUAAUAUAGAUUAAAUUAUUUCUAGUCAGUUAGAGAGAGAGAGAGAGAGAGAGAGAGAGAGAGAGAGAGAGAGAGAGAGAGAGAGAGAGAGAGAGAGAGAGACAAAGCAGAUAACGCCAGAUCCUAAGGUACUCCUGGUUUAUCUGCUGGGAACAUUGCCAGCAGGAAAACUUAUGUUUUUCACGCAACAGAUUGUAAGAUAAUUUCACCUAAAUUUAACUAGAAAGGCAUAAUGCUGAACCUAAUUUUCUAAUUACCGGAAACUGCUACUACUCUUGCUACUAUAUUACUACUAUUGCAACUACUACUGGUACUACUACUACUACAACGGCUGCUACUGAUAUUACUUUUACUACUACAACGAAAACUUAUACUACUGCUCCAUGUAAUUCUCCUACAAAUAACAUUAGCACACUAUCCUCGUAUUAGAUUCAAUAUUUUUUUUAACAUUAUGUCUGAGAAGUGUUGAGGGAAUGCAGAACCCAGUUCAUGUCAUUCAAGACAACUGUUAAAGUUGGCCUUCGCUACUAUGUUCAAUCGAAUCAAUUCUCUGAAUAAUAUUUAUCCAGCAAUUUAAAUAAGAUCAGCAUUGUGUUUCAGGCCAAAUAUCAGAUAUUACCUUACACUUAUAUCAAUAGUGUAAGGUAAUGACUGUAUUACCUACCCCUGACAUUGCAUGCACUUCUCCGGAAUUGUUUUCAGUUUCUCCUGAGUUGCAUUCAACAUCCUUUGAGAUGCAUUGCACUUCAACUUCAUUUUAAAUGUUUUCUUCUUCGAAUGAGCUCCAUACUUUGCUGCUAACUCAUCUUGCAACUGAAAUUACUUCUUGAUUACUCCAAAUUUAUUUGAUAAGUUAAAGGUUUUGAAUUAGGUGUCCUUCGUAACAUAAGCCGCCUAAGUGAACACAAAUCAAGUUCUUGGGUUUGUUUCCUGAUGCCAGUAUAAGAUGUUCUCUGGUCUGUUCCUUCUCUUGCUUAUCUUAAGCAAUACUUAAAAUUAGGAAACCAGGAUACCGCAGCAUCUUCAAAGUGAACAUUACCAUUGCGUUGAGAAGUGUUAUUACUGUGCACGGAUUUUGCUAUCGAUGUGAAUAAUUAUAAUUUGUUACAUUGUCUUAAUUUCUCACUAGUCACUAGUGAACGGUCUGUGCACCUGAAGCAGUUAUUGAUGACCACUUCAAAGUCACCACAUCCUUAACUCCGGCUUUCUGUGCACACAUUGCACUCGUCUGAGCCCAUCUGGGCACAUAAAGCACUCGUCUAACCCCCUUCUACGCACACAAUGCACUGGUGUAAAACCCUCCAUGCAUAGUGAGGACUUGUCUAGGCCCCUCGAUACACAACAUACUCCUAAUAAUACGUUCCUAUUUUAUCCCAAAUUCGCGUUUUCAGUAAUUGUUUAUGUUAUUGCCCGUAGUCCUGUCUCUAGAUCAUUAUAUUAUUGAUCAUGUAUUCCUGGUGGAGAUGCGAGGCUUGAGGACUCUCUCUUGAUACUCUUAGUAUCUCAAAUGCUUCUGAUGUCCGCAAGACAAUCUCAGAUUCAGGGUUGUAAUCUCCCAUACCGUGAGAUUUUGUUCAUCUAUUUAUUAUAAGGAAUUUUAACAGAUGGUUUAUUAACGUUUGUGUCUGUGGUGGCAUUGUGAUUCCUAAUUUAUUUAUAUAUAUAUAAAUAUAUGAGGACAUAAACAUAGUGAGGACUUGUCUAGGCCCCUCGAUACACAACAUACUCCUAAUAAUACGUUCCUAUUUUAUCCCAAAUUCGCGUUUUCAGUAAUUGUUUAUGUAACCAGUGGUGGUACCCCUAAUAUAUAUAUAUAUAUAUAUAUAUAUAUAUAUAUAUAUAUAUAUAUAUAUAUAUAUAUAUAUAUAUAUAUAUAUAUUAAUAGAAUACUAAUACAGUACAUUUGUAAGAACGAAUCUUUUACGGAAAAAUUCAGAUAUGUUUUUAUGUGACUAUUUUUGUUCUUAAAUGUUAUGUCUGUAUCAAUAAUGAUGAUUUACAUGUGUUACUAAACGCCGGAGAUAAACUCCUAAAACGAUGAUUCCGGUUCUUAAGUAUUUGAUUAUUUGGUAGUUAAAUGUUGCGUUUGUUAAAUUUCGACGUUUGAAGGAUUUUGCCUGAUUGCUCGUGCAAAGUUAAUAUGUAAAUUUUGAAAUUCUUGGGUUCUUGAAGCUGUCAAGUGUGUUAACUUUAUGUGAUCAGCGUAUCUUGAGAGGUUUCUCGCCUAUGAGAAGAGAAUUGAUUGUUGUCUAAGGAGUGUAAUACAUUUCUUUAUUCCUAAGGAAUCAUCGCUCUGUCGCUAACCAUCAAAACGUUGCCAUUUUGAUCGUCUUACCUUUGUUUACCCUUUAAGAACUUAAACAGUUUGUUUGGGCUGUCUCUUAAACUGUUUGUUGUAUGUUAGGCCUGUCAAUCUCAGAGCGUUAUUUAGGCUACCACAAUAGUUUCCUGAUCAGCCAGCAAAUAUACUCUCAGUGUAUAUAUAUACAUCGACAAAUGGGGUACACUUUUAGUAAUUCUUUUUCAUGUAAUAAUUACGCUUCAUGUAAUUCCUGCUUACUUGGUUUGAUAUUUCUAUCUCAUUAACUUUAUUGACUAGUACUGAAAUGGAAAAACUUUGUUCAUUAGUGUACAAGUGUUUACUAAUACCAAUUUAAUCACCAAUUCGUGAAAUUGAUCCCCUAAUUGAUGCUCUCAGUUACUUGGAUGAUUCUUUUUCUGAUGUGAGUAAGACAGUCUCUGAUUCAGGCUAGUAACGUGUCUCUCAAAACCAUGAGAUUUGGUUUCAGUCUGUUUUAAGGUAUUUUAUCAAAUGAUUUAUCAAUAUAAAUAUUUACACUAUGAUGCUAAGUGAAAUAAAUUGAAAGUAAGUGAUUUUCUGUAAUUUACUGACUUUAAGAGAUUAUAAGAUACAAGAGACAUAACAAAAACGCUAAUUUAGUCUAGGAAAUUAAACAGAUGUAUACAAUUUGAAUGAUAACUAACAGCAAAUUUAUGGAAUUUUAGAAAUUUGUUUAAACUGUACAUUUUACAUGAUUCAAGGGCUGACGUGGAUCAAGAUCACUUUGAACCACAGCUAAAGUCAAAUAAAUCUGAUUUUAA